rnacentral:rRNA from 1 species
AUGUGGGUGCUGCUCCUCGCCUCCAAGGACGAGGCGGAGCAAGCCAUUGUCAAGCAGCAAGCGGCAGCAGAGGUCGAGUGCGGCCACAAGUUGCGCGUGCUGCGCACGGACCGUGGCGGCGAGUUCACAUCGGCGACGUUCUACAAGCACUGCGACGAGAAAGGGGUGCAACGUCACCUCACAACCCCUUACUCGCCGCAGCAGAACGACGUCGUCGAGCGGAUGAACCAGACUGUGCUUGGGAUGGCACGCUGUAUGCUCAAGGCAAAGCAGGUGCCGAUAACGUAUUGGGGGGAGGCCGUGCUCACGGCCGUCUUCAUCCUCAACCGCUCGUUCACAAGGAGCGUCGAUGGCAAGACGCCUUAUGAGGCGUGGUACGGAAGGAAGCCCGAUGUACGCUUCCUCCGCACCUUUGGCUGCGUCGGGCAUGUCAAGACGGCGCGCCCACAGCUGAAGAAGCUCGACGACAGGAGCACCCCGAUGGUGUUCAUGGGCUAUGGGACGGGCUCUAAGGCGUACAAGAUGUACGACCCCGUCUCAAAGCGUGUGCAUGUCUCGCGCGAUGUCAUCUUCGACGAAGACGCGCGAUGGACUUGGGAGGUGUCGGGGGAGGCCCCGGCAAGAAGCUCCUUCACUGUGGAGUACCCGAUGUACUCUACAACCCCGGGAAGCAAGACCCCGGGAAGCUCGGGAGGUGUGGAUCCGGGAACAGCAACCCCGAGAACACCGUCCCCGGGUAUGGUGUCGCCGGACACCACGACGUCAAGCAACGUGGGUCCCGGGAGGCAGUUUGCAACCCCGCCAACGGCGAGGUCGGAGUUGUUCGACGCCGACGACAGCGUUGGCGCCCCCCACAGGUUUUGGCGCAUGGGGGAUCUCCUCGGCGAGGCUGCAGCAACACCGCAACAGCCCGAGGAUGAGGACGUUGAUGACGACGAGGUCUUGCAUCUGAUGGCCGGCGAGGAGCCGACCACGUUCGCGGAGGCCGAGCAAGAGGAUUGCUGGCGCCACGCGAUGCUGGACGAGCUGGCGUCGAUCAAAGACAACGCCACUUGGACACUCACCACACUGCCUGCUGGGCACUGA